GGGUUGUAGGCAACCUGCUCUAUUGCUGCUGACACCCACCGCUCAUAUUCUAACCAGAAGAGGCUGCUUAGUGUGGCGUCAACCCGUCCCUUUCAACUUCUAAUCUUUGGACGGUGCCAUCUUUUUCUUCUUGUUGUUAUUUUUGGGGGCUAAUUUACAAUCUGGACGCCUUCCCACAGCAGGGUUACCUCCUGCCCGCGUCCAGCCCAGCUGCCGCCUUCAGAGGCACCGUGCAGCCAGAUGGACAGACACAGGCACACGUCUGUGCACCAGCACCGCUCCCUGUGAAGGAAACAGACGGAAGAGGCUGGCGGAGCAAGCUGCUGCCUAAGCUGUCAUUGCUUAGGAAAAAGUGGCAGAGGACAUCUCUGACACCUUGGAAACAUGGCACCAGCUCAUGCCCUGCUGUGUGGCUGUCCCCUGAUGGGAACUAAGAAGCCAUUCUUGGAGCCUCCAUCCCUCUGUCCUUGACAAAAAACAAAAACUAGGGUGUGGAAAGAUGCUGCCAAACCCUGCACCACAACAGCUCUUGCCACAAGUGCUCCCUUGCCUCAAACCAAUCUAGGAGGAAGCGCAGCAUAAACAGUCUGGUAAGAUCUGCUCCAGACGCCUGCUGUGGCACAUCAGGAGACUAACAUAUUAACUCUGAAAAAAACCACUAAUUCUAAGGAGAACUCUGUACUUAAGGUGGAAGACAUUUUGCAGAGAUCAGCAGAGUUUGUCUGGUGCUGAGAAACCAGGGAAACCUGUUAACAGCAGACUCUGAGGAUAAUUGAGAAAAUUAGUCAACGCCACUUUUAAAGGAUUUUUGAUUACAAUAUCGCAUGGGUUGGUAAUACUUUGCUCUUAAUCUUUUCAAAUAUACACUUGCAAGGGUUUGUUUAUCCCUUGCUUCUGACUUGCAGUCAAACAGGGGCUCUGCUCCUUCUGGGGCUCCAGUUGAGCAAGCCAACUACGUCACUGUAUGUAAAAUCAUUGGACAACACAUCCAUGCCAUACAGGAGGUCAUUAUUUCUUUUUGCAUGUAACAUAGUACAAAGAACCAGCAGCUGAAGUAUCACUUGAUAAAAACAACAGCUCCCAAUUAUACAAGCUAAGGCUGUCGUAAGGGUGACAGAGCACUGGAACAGGUUGCCCAUAGAGGUUGUGGAGGCUCCUUCAAUGGAGAUAUUCAAGACUCAUCUGGAUGCCUACCUCUGUGACCUACGUAGGGAACCUGCUUUAGCAGGGGGCUUGGACUCAAUGAUCUCUUGAGGUCAACCUUCCAACCCCUACAAUUCUGUGAAAGGACCUAAGACCAAGACCCCUGCCCAUGGGCCAGCAUGCAGUGAAGGCGGGAAAUGAGUGCUAUAGGGUACCCAUCACAAUGGAAGAGACAAACCUGCCAACAGAAAGGGGACUGGCCCGAGAUGCCCAUCCUGGAGCUCGGCGGACUUCUUGAAGCCAGCCUUAUUUAUUUUGCUGAAAAUACUUCAUGCAAAAAGAGCUUGGGGAAGGUAGGCUGGUGCCCCAGUUUCAUCCCAUCCCUCUUUCACCCUUAUUUCAUGAGGAAGAUGCAUAUUCCAUUUCACAUAAGCCCAGGCGUAUGCAAGUGAUUUCAUGUGACCAGCUACAUAUAAUUAUCCUAGAUGUAGGCCUAUAAAUGAUUCAUUAAGAUCUGUAUCAGCUGGUUAUUUAAUGUGUCCUGCUAAUUAAAACUUUGUGAUAAAGACAACUACAAGCUUUCUGUAAUUAUGCCUCUGGACAGCACAACGUGUUUCCAACCAGUAUUUGCAGUUCCUGGGUAUACAUUGACACCUAAAGUAGGGUAGAAAAAUAUAGGUUAACUGCUGCUCUUAAUAGCUCUUUGUUAAUAAAGUUAUUGUAGAAUUUUAUU
rnacentral:lncRNA from 1 species